CACGAGGCCCUUUUCAGGGCCACAAUUAAAUACCUCAACCUAGUUU
rfam:Operophtera brumata OBRT01_Sc07416, whole genome shotgun sequence.